rnacentral:rRNA from 1 species
UGGGGAAUAUUGGACAAUGGGGGGAACCCUGAUCCAGCAAUGCCGCGUGUGUGAAGAAGGCCUGAGGGUUGUAAAGCACUUUCAGUGGGGAGGAGGGUUGACGGGUUAAGAGCUGGUUGACUGGACGUUACCCACAGAAGAAGCACCGGCUAACUCCGUGCCAGCAGCCGCGGUAAUACGGGGGGUGCAAGCGUUAAUCGGAAUUACUGGGCGUAAAGGGUGCGUAGGUGGUUUGAUAAGUUAUCUGUGAAAGCCCUGGGCUCAACCUGGGAAGGCCAGAUAAGACUGUUGGGCUCGAGUACGGGAGAGGGUAGUGGAAUUUCCGGUGUAGCGGUGAAAUGCGUAGAGAUCGGAAAGAACACUCGUGGCGAAGGCGGCUUUCUGGCCCAUAACUGACGCUGAGGUGCGAAAGCAUGGGGAGCAAACAGGAUUAGAUACCCCCGUAGUCCCUGAGCGGGCUGGCAAGGCGCAU